rnacentral:lncRNA from 1 species
GUUGUGUCUGGACGCUUAAGGUGCAGACACCGAGGAUGCCACGUGGAAGCCGAAUCCGCACUUCCCGCGUGACCCUUCUGGCCGGGUGAGACCCUCGGGACUGGGGACAAAGCGCGGGCGGCCAGGACGAGGUUCUGUAGCUUAAGAGCUGCGAAGCCGAGGGUGAGAUGGAGGGAGCCGAAAGGGAUCCGCUACCAGGGGAGGACUCCCGGAGAACGGGGACACGCUCUGUGCACUCCGGGAGAGGACUCUGAAAUGUGACAUUUUCCCUAGACAGGUUGGGGGAAGGGCUGUCGAGGGCAUAGUCUAAGAGGAGGUGAGGAAAGAAUGAAUGGUGAUAGGUGUCAAGCUCUUGGGGGUGUUUUUUUGUUUUGUUUUGUUUUGUUCUUACUGUGUUUUUGAUUCUGUCAGGCUAGCUUUGGACUUCAUAAGUCCUGGAUAGCCUUCCUUGAUUUUCCUGACUCUGCUUCUCUGGGGAUGGGAUUACAGAGUUUAAAGGUUUAUAGAAGGGGGGAAAAAAAGGAUAAAAGAAAAUUACUCGUUAUUUGUGUGUGGAGGUUCGAGAAUUUUAGAAUUCUCUCUUUCCACCUUUUGGGUCCAGGAUAGCUAACCCUUAGUUGUAAUUACGCUACUACAAGGGGUAUCAACAUUCCUAAUGCUGCGAUCCUUUUGUUGUUGUGGUGGUGACCCCUGAUCAUUAAAAAAAAUUUUUUUUUUUGCUACAUUGUAACUGUAAUUUUGUAAGUUUGGUCUUAGGCGAGCCCUGUGAAAGGGUCCUGACCCACAAGUUGAGAACUGCUGCUCCAUUGAGCCAUCUCCUGUCCACACGAAGUAGGAAAUUCUUGACAGCAUCAAGAUUCCAGAUGUCCCAUCUGGGAGCCUGUGUGAAGGUCACAGGGCACUUUAUGGGAGUUGGUUGUUGAUCUUUCUAAGGCUCAAACUCAGGUUGUCAGCAGUGGGUUGCAAGGACACUCUACUUCAGCACCAGCAUCCCCCUCUCCCUCCCCCAGCCUGAAAUGUUAAUUCAGAUGUUAACUAGGCUAGGGAGACCCCUUGGUCUAAACCUGUGGGUUGCUACUCCUUCGGCUCCAAAAAAUGUUUACCUGAUGGUUUAUUUAUUUAUUAAAUUUAUUUAUUGUUAUAUGGAAGUACACUGUAGCUGUCUUCAGACACACCAGAAGAGGGCGUCAGAUCUCAUUAUGGGUGGUUGUGAGCCACCAUGUGUUUGCUGGGAUUUGAACUCCGGACCUUCGGAAGAGCAGUCAGUGCUCUUAACCGCUGAGCCAUCUCGCCAGCCCACAUGAUGGUUUAUAACAGUAGCAAGAUUACAGUUUUGAAAUAGAAGGGAAAAUGAUUUUAUAUUUGGUCACUACAACAUAAGGAACUGUAAUAAAGGGAUCAUUAUACCAUCAGGAAGAUUGAGACCCACUGGAGUCCAUGGCAGUACCUGUCUGAUAUUUCUUCUUUAAUACUAUGACAUUUUAUUUGAUACUGAUAUAGGAAUAAAAUGAAAACUGUUGGUUCACUCUGGAGUUCUUGUCCUGGAACUCACUACUUAGACAGGUAUAGCAUUGAUUUGACAGAGAUCCUCCUGCCUCUGCCUCCUGUGGCCUGAAAUAGUCUGGUACACAAAGUAGCUGUUUAACAUUGGAAUAAAUAAACCCUCAGGGGAUCUUUCCAGCUUUGUCUGUCAGUGGGUACAUAUACAUGAAGUGGGGGUGUCAGCCUUGAAAGGCCAGAAGCGUAGAAUGGCCUAGAGCUAGCUGAAUUUCAUCUAGGGGGUGGUUAAGAGCUCCUGGGAACUGAGCAUGGACCCUGUGGAAGCCAGUAUCUGGUGGUCUUAGCUAUUGAGCCAUCUCUCCAUCAUCCUUUCUAACUUUUAAUAAGUCUAUGAUUUUAUGAAGUAUUGGAAUAACUGUCCUUUAGAGAUACAGUGGGCCAUGUGGAGUCAUGAAAAGUUCCAAAAAAGGACAAAAUAGUGUGUUAUAUGUAAUAUAUAUAUAUAUAUAUAUAUAUAUAUAUAUGUAACCAAUAGAAACAGUUUCUAUAGUCUUCUUGCAUGUGUAUGAUAUGGGUAUUUAAAGAUUUAGAAUGAUGCAGGAGGUGGUGGCACAGGCCUUUAAGGGCACAAGCUCCUGGGGCACUUGGGAGGCAGAGGCAGGAGGAUCUCCAACCUCCAAAACAGCCUGGUCUUCAGAGUGUGUUCCAGGACAGCCAGGUGUUCACAGAGAAACUCUGUCUACAACAACAGCAACAACAACAACAACAACAACAACAACAACAACAAAAAGAGGCUGGAAAGUUGGCUCUACAGUAAGAGCAUUGACUGUUUUUCCCGAGGACCCAGGUUUGAUCCCCAGCACCCUCAUGGUGGCUCAACCCCAUCUGUAACUCCAGUUUCAGGUGAUCUAAUGCCCUCUUCUGUAAUGCAAGUGGUACACAGAUACACAUGUGGGCAAAUAAUCAUGCACAUGAAAU